AUUGAACGCUGGCGGCAUGCCUUACACAUGCAAGUCGAAACGGCAGCACGGGUGCUUGCACCUGGUGGCGAGUGGCGAACGGGUGAGUAAUACAUCGGAACGUACCUUAUCGUGGGGGAUAACGCAGCGAAAGCUGUGCUAAUACCGCAUACGCCCUGAGGGGGAAAGCGGGGGAUCGCAAGACCUCGCGCGAGUGGAGCGGCCGAUAUCAGAUUAGCUAGUUGGUGGGGUAAAGGCCCACCAAGGCGACGAUCUGUAAGCUGGUCUGAGAGGACGACCAGCCACACUGGAACUGAGACACGGUCCAGACUCCUACGGGAGGCAGCAGUGGGGAAUUUUGGACAAUGGACGCAAGUCUGAUCCAGCCAUUCCGCGUGCAGGACGAAGGCCUUCGGGUUGUAAACUGCUUUUGUACAGAACGAAAAGGUCUCUAUUAAUACUAGGGGCUCAUGACGGUACUGUAAGAAUAAGCACCGGCUAACUACGUG
rnacentral:rRNA from 1 species